rnacentral:rRNA from 1 species
AUUGAACGCUGGCGGUAUGCUUAACACAUGCAAGUCGAACGGUAACAGGCCUUCGGGCGCUGACGAGUGGCGGACGGGUGAGUAACGCGUAGGAAUCUGCCUCAUAGUGGGGGACAACGUGUGGAAACGCACGCUAAUACCGCAUAAGCCCUACGGGGAAAAGCGGGGGACCUUCGGGCCUCGCGCUAUGAGAUGAGCCUGCGUUAGAUUAGCUAGUUGGUAGGGUAAAGGCCUACCAAGGCGACGAUCUAUAGCUGGUCUGAGAGGACGAUCAGCCACACUGGGACUGAGACACGGCCCAGACUCCUACGGGAGGCAGCAGUGGGGAAUAUUGGACAAUGGGCGCAAGCCUGAUCCAGCAAUACCGCGUGUGUGAAGAAGGCCCUAGGGUUGUAAAGCACUUUCAAUAGGGAGGAAAACCUGUCGGUCAAUACCCGGCAGCUUGACAUUACCUAUACAAGAAGCACCGGCUAACUCCGUGCCAGCCGCCGCGGUAAGAC